CUGGAACCUAGGCUGGGUACCAGGCAGCCAGGGAGUUGCAAACUUUGGGGAAGAAGUGAGAACAAGAGGAGCAGGGAAGAAGGGGAACAUGGGAACACGGAUGAGAAAGCUGGAUCUGGCCCUCUGAGAAAACAGCCCCGUGUGGAGCCAGGACUUUGGUUUCUCAUGACCUUUCUCCUCAAGCCGAGGCUUCAGAUUAUAACUAGGAUGAACAAAGACUUUAAAAUCGUGUAUGUCUCCUGUUUAUGGAGAAAAAGCUUCUAUGGGGCCACCCGCGCAGAGUGCGCAAAACGUCAAGAAUUUACUUGGCUGGUAAAAACGUGACUAGAAACUUGGGAAUUUUCCUGGGCUAACCGCAGCCUGACUUCUGGUGGUAACACUAACCUUCCUUCCUCUGCCAGAAUCCCUGGGUCCGUCUGGCGAGGGCCCCAUCUCUUAGGUGGAAGGGAAGGCAGGUGAGCGUAUGAGCAGGUGUCACCACCUAGAGUUUGAACUGAACUCUUGAAAGUCAAGUUGGGAUAGGUCUGAGGCGUCGCCAGACGCCUUGAAAUAUCAUCCAGUGAAAGUGUGCAAACGACACAGAUGAAGAGUCACUGGACAGCGGAGUUUGCACCUGGGGCUCGGUGGCUUCUCAGCUGUGACAAACCCCUGGAAUAGGUGUUUCCCGGAAGAUCUCACGAAGGCUCCGCCCCGCGUGGUCCUUACGUGGGCUGGAGUCCUGAGUAGAACUUAUCCUAACCAGGUGGAGAUUUAAAUGACUGCAUCCACUCCCAAGAUUUAUUGCAAGAGUGAUUGAUGUUAUAAACCAGGAAAGGACUCUUCCCACAGCAGGGAUGACAGAAAUAUCAAGUUGAAGUUGCCUUUGUCUGCAUGCAACGCGUAAGCCAGUGCUACAACACAGACAGCUUUGAGAGAACACCCACCAAGCCUGCUCGAUGGUCCCUGCAGAUUUCCAAACCAACCUUCCUUGGGUUGCACAGCCAUCUCUUUUCUCAGUUUCAGUAGGACCCGAAAGACAUCUGCAAAGUGGCCACAAGUCUCCUAAUGAGGUGGUGAUAAAGACUAUUGAUUGGGGCAUUGUUACAUACCAGAUUGCUAAGCUGUGGCAAUUUUUAUCUUCCUUCACCUUUGUCUUUUCCCUCUUUUGGGUGUGUGUGUGUGACAGAGACAACCACAGAAAUGCACACAUUCCUCUGAAGACUGCUGCUGUUUCUUCUGUUUUGUUUUGUUUUGUUUUGUUUUUCAGUGUUGGAAACUUAAAACUAACAGUUUCUGGAGGGGAGCAUAGCUAGUCUUUUAUCAUAACCAAGUUUUUAUGACUGCAAUUAAUUUUUCUUUAUAGCAAUGUAAGCAAUAAUUAAGUCUCUUGUUCAUUUAUCUCCCGGUGAUAUACUCAGGCUGGGAAGGAGUCGUGGGUUGAUAAUGAGGCUUGAGAGAGUCUGAAUUUUUGCAAGAAAUGACCACCAGUUUGGGGAUAGGAUGCGCAGAGGGCUGCCAGUUAGUUAUCUUGAUGCCAAAUUCUGAAGAAAGGAAAUUAAUAAUACUUCUUUUUUCCCCCCUGCUUGAAUUUUGUAUCUAUCUCUGCUAAUAAACACGGAGGGACAGAUGGAUGGGGAAGUGAACGAUGGCUGGAUUCCACUGAGCAGAUCAGCUAGGCUGUAACUUAAGCUCUGCCAAAUUCUCCCCAAAUAUAAACUAUAUUCUGUGAGAAGAAAAGCACUUCGAGGAAGCUAAUUAACCCUUACAACAACUGGAGGAUUGCUUUGAACAUGGUCACUUCGCUGCUGUAAACAGAAGAUUCAAGGUUUGAACACAGCAGGAGUGAGCUUGAUCUGUCCAAAUCAUUCUUAAACCUCAGCUUUGAAGACAUCCACAAUGAUUUUCUUCAGUUAUCAUCUAUAUCUUUGCCAAGCAAACUUGACUGAUAGUUGCAGACUUCUGAAAAAAAAAAUUGCAAAUGCCCCUGACAGAAGGAAGAGGAGUUCCAGAAGAGCAGAAAUGAAUCAUAUGCGGAUCUGACCAGUAUAUAUUGAUUGCCUUCAACAAAGAGUUGAUGUUGUUGAUGAGUUUGUGCCAGUUUUAUGAUAGAGGACAUCAGAAGAGAUACAAGCAAGUCUCUGAGCUUUGGAAAGCUUGGCUCCAAGCAUGACUCCACAACUCAUGAGGGUGUUGUACUCAUAUUACAACGAAGCACCUGGGAUCCAUUUGCCAGUAUGCUUGAACAUUCUCAACACAGGGUGCUUCACUGCAGAAUGAUUCUCUAGUAAUUAAUUCCCUUUGUAAACAAGGAAAUGAGAAACAAGAAAAUAAAUCUAAAAAAAAAAAA
rnacentral:lncRNA from 1 species